rnacentral:rRNA from 1 species
UACGAAGGGUGCAAACGUUGCUCGGAAUCAUUGGGCGUAAAGCGCACGUAGGCGGCCCAUCAAGUCGGACGUGAAAUCCCUCAGCUCAACUGAGGACGUGCAUCCGAAGCUGAUGGGCUUGAGUACUGAAGAGGAUCGCGGAAUUCCCGGUGUAGAGGUGAAAUUCGUAGAUAUCGGGAGGAACACCAGUGGCGAAGGCGGCGAUCUGGGCAGAUACUGACGCUGAGGUGCGAAAGCGUGGGGAGCAAACAGG